rnacentral:rRNA from 1 species
AUUGAACGCUGGCGGCAGGCCUAACACAUGCAAGUCGAACGAGUGGCGGACGGGUGAGUAAUGUCUGGGAAACUGCCUGAUGGAGGGGGAUAACUACUGGAAACUGUAGCUAAUACCGCAUACAAUCGGAUGGCCCCAGAGGGGAUUAGCUAGUAGGUGGGGUAAAGGCCCACCUAGGCGACGAUCCCUCGAGGGUCUGAGAGGAUGACCAGCCACACUGGAACUGAGACACGGUCCAGAGUCCUACGGUAGGCAGCAGUGGGGAAUAGUGCACAAGGGGCGAAAGCCUGAUGCAGCCAUGCCGCGUGUAUGAAGAAGGCCUUCGGGUUGUAAAGUACUUUCAGCGGGGAGGCGUUACCCGCAGAAUAAGCACCGGCUAACUCCGUGCCAGCCGCCGCGGUAAUAC